GGGGAUUUAGCUCAGUUGGUAGAGCGCUUGCCUAGGAAGCGCAAGGCCCUGGGUUCGGUCCCCAGCUCCG
rfam:Rattus norvegicus chromosome 1, whole genome shotgun sequence.